AUGUAUAUAUAUGUAUAUGUAUGUAUAUAUGUAUAUGUAUGUAUAUGUAUAUAUGUAUAUGUAUGUAUAUGUAUAUGUAUGCAUACAAGUAUGUAUGUGUGUGUUUAUACACACACACACACAUACAUACUUGGAUAAACUUCACUGUCAUAGAACAUUUGGAUGUACCAUGAUCUACUUCGUAAUGGUGAUUCCAGGAAAGCUAAAUGCCACAAUUUAGGAACUCCGCCAUAACCUAAAUGACAAGGCAAAACACUUCAAUAGAAUCACUCUCUGAAAUCAAUAAUCCUCAAAAGAAGCUUCUUCAGGAGAUGCAUUAAUAAGACCUUAAAGUCCUUAGUUUCAGAGGACUAACACACUAAAAUCCCGACAAUAUAAAGCUAAAAGGCAAACCAACCAUCUAAUUUGAUUAUACAUACCCAGGUUUGCAAAAUUAAAUUAAACAGAUUAGCCUUGAGGAAACAGCAGGGGUUAUCUAGCAUAGAGCUACAUCAUCUUGAAUUUCUCUUGUUUUCUCCUGUGCGACAAGCAAACUCAUGGAUGCUAAUACUUAUGGGCUUUCUAAUCAACUCUCAUCAGCAAAAUCUUGAGCUCCAUUGAUGGCCUUGCAUGCCAAACACCACGCAGUAAGAAAUGACCGCUGGGGAUUGCUUCUCAGUGUUUCCUCUGCGAUAGGGGAGAGCAGAUGUCAACAAUGAGUACGAGUGAACAGUCAGUGUAGGAAUAGAAACUCUGUGCACACCAUUCACAAGAAACACUAGCAGCACAGAAGCUGGUAAUAUGCAGUUCAUCAUUUUGCUUAACAAAAGGAUUAAUGAACCAAGUAGAUAAGCAUACAAGCAUUCCUUGCAUGAGUAUUGCUUAUGCAAUUGGCACAAUAUUUCAAUAAAAAUAAACAAGCCUCAAGAUGCCCAAGUGACCCUUGCUUAUCAGCGUUUGUCACGUGCUAUGCACAUGACUUUUUCAAAAUCAAAAACGGUAGUAGCUACAUACGGAAGAAGAAAGUUGCUUUUGCUCAUCAAAGAAAUAAAGAAAGAAACUAACCAGAAAAAAGAGGUGAAAGAGACGGGGAAGAAAAAAAAAAAAGGGGGAAAAUAAACAAGAGUUAGUACAUCUCUCUCUCUCUCUCUCUCUCUCUCUCUCUCUCUUCCCAGAGAUAGAUGGCCAGACACACCAACUUUUUUUCUCUAUCAAGAUCCAGGGAUCAAUAGUGAUGUACAUGUACCUGCACAUGAAUAUCAACAUGUACCAAGUAUUUGCAAAUGUAUAUAUGCAAGAUAUAUAAAUUGCAUAUAUUUAUGUGCAUAGACAUAUGUAUAUACGCAAGUAUAUAUAAAUUACAUAUAUUCAUGUAUAUAUACAUAAAGACACACAUAUAUA
rnacentral:lncRNA from 1 species